rnacentral:rRNA from 1 species
GACGAACGCUGGCGGCGUGCUUAACACAUGCAAGUCGAACGGACAGGCCCUGCUUUUGUGGGUUGCUCGAGUGGCGAACGGGUGAGUAACACGUGAGUAACCUGCCCUUGACUUUCUGAUAACUUCAGGAAACUCGGGCUAAUACCGCAUAGGAGCUCCUGCUGCAUGGUGGUGGAUGGAAAGUUUCGGCUGUUGUGGAUGGACUCGCGGCUUCUCAGCUUGUUGGUCGGGUAGUUGCUUACCAAGCCUUUGACGGGUAGCCGGCCUGAGAGGGGUACCGGCGACAUGGGGACUGAGAUACGGCGCAGACGCCUACGGGAGGCAGCAGGGGGGAAUAUUGCACAAUGGGCGGAAGCCUGAGGCAGAAACGCUGCGUGCGGGAUGACGGCCUUCGGGGUGUAAACCGAUUUCGCCUGUGACGAAGCGUGAGUGACGGUAAUGGGUAAAGAAGCACCGGCUAACUACGUG